CUUUUUCAAGGACCACCAUAAGGGUAAGAUUCCUUCUCCACUCUUUAUUAUAUAUCUUCUUUUUUCAGACAUUAACAAGGACCAGUCUAGCAGGGCAGGCCAACAUUUCUUUCUCUCCAUCAUGUUGGUUUGCUGAGUGCGUGGACUUGGGGUUGGAUGAGCACUUCAUGGAGAUCCUUCAAUCAAUUCAGCUUACCUGUUGAUAAAUCAUGAAUCUAUUUUUUAAUUUUGAAACUUCUGGCAACAAAAAAGGCAGCACCUCAUGAAGAUGAAGAUGGCAGUUGCCACACAGGCCAGCAGGAAGCCAAUC